UCAUUAUAAAAGAAGAACCCCUUUUAAGUUUUAAUAUGGUUUAAAAACUGAAAUUAGUCUCAAUGAAACUUUAAUUAAAUUAAAAUUUGAAGUCUUUAUAAUGACUUUUUUAAUACUUACAAUUUUUUUAUUUAAAAACAAGCUUGUUUAUUAUAAACAAGCCAAGCUUGAGCUUAGCUCGUUUAUUAUUUAAACGAGCCAGGAGUUAGCCAAGCUCGCCGAGCUCUAUUUUAAUAAAAUUUAAACAAACCGAGCUCGAACCUUAAUAUUAAAGUUUGAAUCAAGCUUGAGCUUGAAACAUAUUCUUGCGAGCUAAGCCUGAACAAGCCAACGCUGG
rnacentral:misc_RNA from 1 species